GCCUGGGUGGCUCAGUCGGUUAAGCGCCUGACUGCAGCUCAGGCCAGGAUCUCAUGGUUUGUGAGUUCGGGUCCCACGUCGGGCU
rfam:Felis catus isolate Cinnamon breed Abyssinian chromosome F1, whole genome shotgun sequence.